rnacentral:rRNA from 1 species
GCGGCGGACGGGUGAGUAACACGUGGGCAACCUGCCCUGCAGACUGGGAUAACUUCGGGAAACCGGAGCUAAUACCGGAUAACACCGAAAACCGCAUGGUUUUCGGUUGAAAGGCGGCUUUUAGCUGUCACUGCAGGAUGGGCCCGCGGCGCAUUAGCUAGUUGGUGAGGUAACGGCUCACCAAGGCGACGAUGCGUAGCCGACCUGAGAGGGUGACCGGCCACACUGGGACUGAGACACGGCCCAGACUCCUACGGGAGGCAGCAGUAGGGAAUCUUCCGCAAUGGACGAAAGUCUGACGGAGCAACGCCGCGUGAGCGAAGAAGGUCUUCGGAUCGUAAAGCUCUGUUGUCAGGGAAGAACAAGUUCCGUUCGAACAGGGCGGUACCUUGACGGUACCUGACGAGGAAGCCACGGCUAACUACGUGCCAGCAGCCGCGGUAAUACGUAGGUGGCAAGCGUUGUCCGGAAUUAUUGGGCGUAAAGCGCGCGCAGGCGGUUCCUUAAGUCUGAUGUGAAAUCUCGCGGCUCAACCGCGAGCGGCCAUUGGAAACUGGGGAACUUGAGUGCAGGAGAGGGGAGCGGAAUUCCACGUGUAGCGGUGAAAUGCGUAGAGAUGUGGAGGAACACCAGUGGCGAAGGCGGCUCUCUGGCCUGUAACUGACGCUGAGGCGCGAAAGCGUGGGGAGCGAACAGGAUUAGAUACCCUGGUAGUCC